UACAGUGACGCGCCACCAUGCCCGGCUAAUUUUUGUAUUUUUAGCAGAGACGGGGUUUCACCAUCUUGCCCAGGCUGCUCUUUAACUCCUGACCUCGUGAUCCACCCACCUCGGGCUCCCAAGGUGCUGGGAUUACAGGCGUGAGCCACCGCGCCCGGCCAAAACAAACACUUUUACGACAAUUGAAAAAUAGAAGUUUCCAAUUCAAUUUUGCAACUAAAAAAUAAUAAUAAUGUGGUGCCUUCAUGUUAAACUUUGGAAAAAGCCAGGGAAGUGGCUUGCUCUGGUGAAUAAAUUCUGUAGACCCUUAAGGCUGUUCGCAGCGUACACCAAGACUUCCGAGGCAAGUGGGGGCUCCCCCUGGCGGCUGCGCCGGGUGGCUGCUCCGGGAUUGUGCGGACCUCCGAGCUACACCGUCUCCAACCAACAGAAGCCAGCAGGAACCUGCCUUAGAUGUG
rnacentral:lncRNA from 1 species